rnacentral:rRNA from 1 species
GCUAAACGCGAAGAACCUUACCAGGCCUUGACAUGUCCAGUUUGAUCGGCAGAGAUGCCUUUCUUCACUUCGGGUGGCUGGAACACAGGUGCUGCAUGGCUGUCGUCAGCUCGUGUCGUGAGAUGUUGGGUUAAGUCCCGCAACGAGCGCAACCCUCGCCCUUAGUUGCCAUCAUUAAGUUGGGAACUCUAAGGGAACUGCCCGUGAUAAGCGGGAGGAAGGUGGGGACGACGUCAAGUCAUCAUGGCCCUUACGGCCUGGGCCACACACGUGCUACAAUGGCGGUGACAAUGGGCAGCAAACUCGCGAGAGUAAGCGAAUCCCUAAAAGCCGUCUCAGUUCGGAUUGUACUCUGCAACUCGAGUACAUGAAGUUGGAAUCGCUAGUAAUCGUAGAUCAGCAUGCUACGGUGAAUACGUUCCCGGGUCUUGUACACACCG